GUGCGACUGGCGCAGGAUUUUGCCGUCCGCUAUCCGCUGGUGGAAGGGCAGGGCAAUUUCGGCUCGAUCGACGGUGAUAACGCCGCCGCCAUGCG
rnacentral:tRNA from 1 species